CAGGCCUAACACAUGCAAGUCGAACGGAGAAUACAUUUUUGAAGCAAUUAGCUUGCUAAGAGUGGAAAUGUUGUAUUCUAAGUGGCGGACGGGUGAGUAACGCGUGGAUAACCUGCCUCACACAGGGGGAUAACAGCGAGAAAUUGCUGCUAAUACCGCAUAAGCGCACAGCAUCGCAUGAUGUCGCGUGAAAAACUCUGGUGGUGUGAGAUGGAUCCGCGUCUGAUUAGCUAGUUGGUCGGGUACGAGCCUACCAAGGCCGACGAUCAGUAGCCGGCCUGAGAGGGUGAACGGCCACAUUGGGACUGAGACACGGUCCAAACUCCUACGGGAGGCAGCCAUGGGGGAUAUUGCCCAAUGGGGGAAACCCUGAUGCAGCGACGCCGCGUGAGUGAAG
rnacentral:rRNA from 1 species